rnacentral:rRNA from 1 species
GACAGAGGGUGCAAACGUUGUUCGGAAUUACUGGGCGUAAAGCGAGUGUAGGCGGUUUGGUAAGUCGGAUGUGAAAGCCCCGGGCUCAACCCGGGAAGUGCACUCGAUACUGCCAAGCUAGAGUAUCGGAGAGGUUGGUGGAAUUCUCGGUGUAGAGGUGAAAUUCGUAGAUAUCGAGAGGAACACCGGUGGCGAAGGCGGUCCACUGGGACGAAUGAUCUGACGCUG